rnacentral:rRNA from 1 species
GCGGGGAGCAUCCCAGCGCCGAACGGUCGCGUAACACGUAAGCAACCUGCCCCAAAGACCGGGACAACAUUCCGAAAGGAGUGCUAGUACCGGAUGUGCCCGUCUGUUGACAUCAUCGGACGAGUAAAUCAAGCAAUUGGCUUUGGGAGGGGCUUGCGGCCUAUCAGCUAGAUGGUGGGGUAACGGCCUACCAUGGCGACGACGGGUAGCUGGUCUGAGAGGAUGGUCAGCCGGAUUGGGACUGAGAUACGGCCCAGACUCCUACGGGGGGCAGCAAUUAGGAAUCUUGCACAAUGGGCGAAAGCCUGAUGCAGCGACGUCGCGUGGGGGA